UUGAUUUAAAUUAUUGUGGAUCUACACUUUGAAAAUUGAACAUGCACAAAGUGGUGGGAUAUACUAAUUUCAUCCUA
rnacentral:pre_miRNA from 1 species